rnacentral:rRNA from 1 species
GACAGAGGAUGCAAGCGUUAUCCGGAAUGAUUGGGCGUAAAGCGUCUGUAGGUGGCUUUUCAAGUCCGCCGUCAAAUCCCAGGGCUCAACCCUGGACAGGCGGUGGAAACUACCAAGCUGGAGUACGGUAGGGGCAGAGGGAAUUUCCGGUGGAGCGGUGAAAUGCAUUGAUAUCGGAAAGAACACCAACGGCGAAAGCACACUACUGGGCCGACACUGACACUGAUACACGAAAGCUAGGGGAGCAAAUAGG